UUAGGCUUUAAAGACUCUUGUUUGGACAAGGAAAUUAUGCAAAUAAAGAUUACAACCUAAACUACUAACAAAAGCUUUCUACCAAACAGCUGCCUCAGUGAACAACAAAAUGGCUUUAAGUUAAUUUGCCACCAAUUCAAAUAAACCCCAAAUUAACAAACCUACAAAACAA